GACAGAGGGGGCAAGCGUUGCUCGGAAUUACUGGGCGUAAAGCGCGUGUAGGCGGCGGCGUAAGUCGGAUGUGAAAUCCCUUGGCUUAACCAAGGAAGUGCAUCCGAUACUGCGUCGCUUGAGUGCCGGAGGGGAUGGCGGAAUUCCCGGUGUAGAGGUGAAAUUCGUAGAUAUCGGGAGGAACACCUGUGGCGAAGGCGGCCAUCUGGACGGUAACUGACGCUGAGACGCGAAAGCGUGGGUAGCAAACAGG
rnacentral:rRNA from 1 species